rnacentral:rRNA from 1 species
AUGACGGGCGCACGAGUAAUGGCGCGGGCCGUGCGGCGCUUCUCGGUGAUUCCGGCCGCGUGGCUGCUGCUGCUGGUUCUGGUUUCACGUGUGGCGCCGGCGGCGGGUGAUGAUGGCGACGUGCUGUUGGAGGUGAAGAGCGCGUUCGCGGAAGACCCGGAGGGAGUUUUGGAGGGCUGGUCCGCCGAUGGCGGCGGCUCGUCCGACUUCUGUUCCUGGGCCGGCGUCACGUGCGACCCGGCGGGGCUCAGGGUGGCCGGCCUCAACCUGUCCGGCGCGGGGUUUGCCGGGCCGGUGCCCGGGACGCUCGCGCGGCUCGACGCGCUCGAGGUCAUCGACCUGUCGUCCAAUCGCCUCACGGGCCCCAUCCCGGCGGCUCUCGGGCGCCUCAGAAGGCUCCAGCUUCUCAUGCUCUACUCCAACCAGCUCGCCGGCGGGAUCCCGGCGUCGCUGGGCAGACUCGCCGCGCUCCAGGUGCUGCGCCUCGGCGACAACCUCGGCUUGUCGGGGUCAAUCCCCAAAGCGCUCGGGGAGCUGCGGAACCUCACCGUCAUCGGGCUCGCGUCGUGCAACCUCACCGGAGCGAUACCGGGGGGGCUUGGGAGGCUCGCUGCGCUCACGGCCUUGAACCUGCAAGAGAACUCCCUGUCCGGGCCGAUACCAGCGGACAUCGGCGCCAUGGCAAGCCUCGAGGCGCUUGCUCUCGCUGGGAAUCAACUCACCGGCGAGAUACCGCCGGAGCUUGGGAAGCUCUCCUAUCUCCAGAAGCUCAACCUCGGGAACAAUUCAUUGGAGGGCGCCAUACCGCCGGAGCUCGGAGCUCUGGGCGAGCUCCUGUACCUCAACCUCAUGAACAACCGCCUCUCUGGGCGCGUGCCGCGCGCUCUCGCCGCGCUCUCUCGCGUGCACACGAUUGACCUGUCCGGUAACAUGCUCACUGGUGGGCUCCCCGCCGAGCUCGGCCGGCUGCCGCAGCUCAACUUCCUUGUGCUCGCCGACAACCACCUCAGCGGCCGGCUUCCGGGCAACCUGUGCAGCGGCAGCAAUGAAGCAGAGUCAUCAAGUAGCCUCGAGCACCUCCUGCUCUCCACCAACAACUUCACCGGGGAGAUACCGGACGGGCUGUCGCGGUGCCGUGCGCUGACGCAGCUCGACCUGGCGAACAACAGUCUCUCUGGCGCCAUCCCGCCGGGCCUCGGCGAGCUCGGGAACCUGACGGGUCUGCUGCUCAACAACAACAGCCUCUCUGGCGAGCUGCCGCCGGAGAUCUUUAACCUCACUGAGCUCACUAGCCUUGCAUUGUACCACAAUCAGCUCACUGGCCAGCUGCCGGACGCCAUCGGCAAUCUUAAGAACCUCCAGGAACUGUACUUGUACGAGAACCAGUUCUCCGGCGAGAUACCGGAGAGCAUCGGGGAGUGCUCGAGCUUGCAGAUGAUCGACUUCUUUGGGAACCAGUUCAACGGGAGCAUACCGGCGUCCAUCGGGAAUCUGUCCGAGCUGAUCUUUCUUCACCUCCGGCAGAACGAGCUGUCGGGCCUGAUUCCGCCGGAGCUCGGCGAUUGCCAUCAGCUCCAGGUUCUUGACUUGGCGGACAAUGCUCUAUCCGGUGAAAUCCCGGCGACGUUUGAGAAGCUCGAAGCGCUCCAGCAGUUUAUGCUGUACAACAACUCGCUGUCCGGCGCAGUCCCGGAUGGCAUGUUCGAGUGCCGGAACAUCACGAGGGUGAACAUCGCGCACAACCGGCUCGGCGGCAGCCUCCUGCCGCUCUGCGGGACGGCGAGCCUGCUCUCGUUCGACGCCACCAACAACUCGUUCGAGGGCGGGAUCCCGGCGCAGCUCGGGCGGUCCUCGUCGCUCCAGCGCGUUCGCCUCGGGAGCAACGCCCUCUCCGGGCCGAUCCCGCCGUCGCUGGGCGGCAUCGCCGCGCUGACGCUGCUGGAUGUGUCGAACAAUGCGCUCACCGGCGUCAUCCCGGACGCGCUCUCGCGGUGCACGCAGCUCAGCCACAUCGUCCUCAACCACAACCGGCUGUCAGGCCCCGUGCCGGCCUGGCUGGGCACGCUGCCGCAGCUGGGCGAGCUGACGCUCUCCGCCAACGAAUUCACCGGCGCAUUGCCGGUCCAGCUCACCAAGUGCUCCAAGCUCCUGAAGCUGUCGAUCGACGGCAACCAGAUCAAUGGAACGGUGCCGCCUGAAAUCGGUAGGUUGGCUUCUCUCAACGUGCUGAAUCUGGCGCAGAACCAGCUCUCAGGUCCGGUACCGGCGACCGUGGCAAGACUGAGCAACCUGUAUGAGCUGAAUUUGUCGCAGAAUCAGCUGUCGGGCGCGAUUCCACCUGACAUCGGCAAGAUGCAAGAGUUGCAGAGCUUGCUGGAUUUGAGCAGCAACAAUCUGGUGGGCAUAAUCCCUGCAUCAAUUGGGUCUCUCUCCAAGCUGGAAGAUUUGAACCUCUCUCACAAUGCUCUGGUGGGAACAGUGCCGUCGCAGCUCGCCAGGAUGAGCAGUUUGGUGGAGCUGGACUUGUCUAGCAAUCGGCUGGAUGGUAGGCUGGGGGACGAGUUCUCCCGGUGGCCGCAGGACGCCUUCUCCGGCAAUGCUGCGCUCUGCGGCAGCCAUCUGAGAGGCUGCGGCAGCGGCGGGCGUGGCCGGUCCACGAUGCACUCCGCGUCGAUCGCGCUGGUGUCCGCGGCGGUGACACUGACGAUUGUGCUCCUGGUGAUUGUGCUUGUGCUGCUGGCAGUGCGGCGGCGCGGGCGGCACUCCGGGGAGGUGAACUGCACGGUGUUCUCGUCGAGCCAGGGCAACACGAACCGGCAGCUGAUUAUCAAGGGCUCGGCGCGGCGGGAGUUCCGGUGGGAUGCGAUCAUGGAGGCGACGGCGAACUUGAGCGACCAGUUCGCCGUCGGCUCCGGGGGCUCGGGGACGGUGUACAGGGCAGAGCUGCCCACCGGCGAGACGGUGGCCGUGAAGAGGUUCGUGCACAUGGACAGCGACAUGCUGCUGCAGGACAAGAGCUUCGCGAGGGAGGUGAAGAUCCUGGGCCGGGUCCGGCACCGCCACCUGGUGAAGCUCCUCGGGUUCGUCGGCCAAGGCGAGCAUGGCGGCAGCAUGCUCAUCUACGAGUACAUGGAGAACGGCAGCCUGUACGACUGGCUUCACGGCGGCGCCGGCGAGGGCAAGAAGCGGGUGCUGAGCUGGGACGCGCGGCUCAAGGUGGCGGCGGGCCUGGUGCAGGGCGUGGAGUACCUCCACCACGACUGCGUGCCGCGGGUGGUGCACAGGGACAUCAAAUCCAGCAACGUUCUCCUGGACGGCGACAUGGAGGCGCACCUCGGCGACUUCGGCCUGGCCAAGGCCAUCGCCGAGAACCGCAACGGCGGCAAGGAGUGCACCGAGUCAGCCUCUCUCUUCGCUGGAUCAUACGGCUACAUGGCACCAGAGUGUGCUUACAGCCUCAAGGCGACGGAGAAGAGCGACGUCUACAGCACGGGCAUCGUGCUCAUGGAGCUCGUCACCGGCCUCCUGCCCACCGACAAGACCUUCCGCGGCGACAUGGACAUGGUGCGAUGGGUGCAGUCCCGGGUUGACGCACCGUCGCCGGGCAGGGACCAGGUGUUCGACCCGGCGCUCAAGCCGCUGGCGCCGCGCGAGGAGUCGUCGAUGGCGGAGGUCCUCUUGGUGGCGCUCCGGUGCACCAGGCCGGCGCCAGGGGAGAGGCCGACGGCGCGCCAGAUCUCUGAUCUGCUGCUCCACGUUACGCUCGACUACUACCGAGCCGGCGAGCAGAAGCGCUAG